rnacentral:rRNA from 1 species
CGGGCGGUUCCGAUGCUUAACACAUGCAGUCGAUUCAAGUUACCUUCGGGUAAUGAGGAUGGCGGACGGGUGAGUAACGCGUAAGGAACUUGCCUCUUGGACUGGGACAACUGUUGGAAACGACAGCUAAUACCGGAUAUUAUGAGAUUCUCGCAUGAGAAACUUAUGAAAGCUAUAUGCGCCAAGAGAGAGCCUUGCGUUCCAUUAGCUAGUUGGUGGGGUAACGGCCCACCAAGGCGACGAUGGAUAGCCGGCCUGAGAGGGUGAACGGCCACAAGGGGACUGAGACACGGCCCUUACUCCUACGGGAGGCAGCAGUGGGGAAUAUUGGACAAUGGGCCACAAGCCUGAUCCAGCAAUUCUGUGUGCACGAUGAAGGUCUUCGGAUUGUAAAGUGCUUUCAGUUGGGAAGAAGAAAGUGACGGUACCAACAGAAGAAGCGACGGCUAAAUACGUGCCAGCAGCCGCGGUAAUACGUAUGUCGCAAGCGUUAUCCGGAUUUAUUGGGCGUAAAGCGCGUCUAGGCGGAAAAAUAAGUCUGAUGUUAAAACGCGGGGCUCAACUCCGUAUUGCGUUGGAAACUGUUUUUCUAGAGUACUGGAGAGGUGGGCGGAACUACAAGUGUAGAGGUGAAAUUCGUAGAUAUUUGUAGGAAUGCCGAUGGAGAAGUCAGCUCACUGGACAGAUACUGACGCUGAAGCGCGAAAGCGUGGGGAGCAAACAGGAUUAGAUACCCUGGUAGUCCACGCCGUAAACGAUGAUCACUAGGUGUUGGGGGUCGAACCUCAGCGCCCAAGCUAACGCGAUAAGUGAUCCGCCUGGGGAGUACGCACGCAAGUGUGAAACUCAAAGGAAUUGACGGGGGACCCGCACAAGCGGUGGAGCAUGUGGGUUUAAUUCGACGCAACGCGAGAAACCUUACCAGCGUUUGACAUCCUAAGAAGUUUCCAGAGAUGGAUCCGUGCCGGCUUGCCGGGAACUUAGUUGACAGGUGGUUGC